GCUCCUGUCGUCUAGCGGCCGAGGAUACCGCCCUCUCAAGGCGGUGACGGGGGUUCGAGUCCCCUCAGGAGCUCCA
rnacentral:tRNA from 1 species